GGUUAAGCGACUAAGCGUACACGGUGGAUGCCCUGGCAGUCAGAGGCGAUGAAGGACGUGCUAAUCUGCGAUAAGCGUCGGUAAGGUGAUAUGAACCGUUAUAACCGGCGAUUUCCGAAUGGGGAAACCCAGUGUGUUUCGACACACUAUCAUUAACUGAAUCCAUAGGUUAAUGAGGCGAACCGGGGGAACUGAAACAUCUAAGUACCCCGAGGAAAAGAAAUCAACCGAGAUUCCCCCAGUAGCGGCGAGCGA
rnacentral:rRNA from 1 species